UGGGGAAUUUUGGACAAUGGGCGAAAGCCUGAUCCAGCCAUGCCGCGUGCAGGAUGAAGGCCUUCGGGUUGUAAACUGCUUUUGUACGGAACGAAAAGACUCUGGUUAAUACCUGGGGUCCAUGACGGUACCGUAAGAAUAAGCACCGGCUAACUACGUGCCAGCAGCCGCGGUAAUACGUAGGGUGCAAGCGUUAAUCGGAAUUACUGGGCGUAAAGCGUGCGCAGGCGGUUAUAUAAGACAGAUGUGAAAUCCCCGGGCUCAACCUGGGAACUGCAUUUGUGACUGUAUAGCUAGAGUACGGCAGAGGGGGAUGGAAUUCCGCGUGUAGCAGUGAAAUGCAUAGAUAUGCGGAGGAACACCGAUGGCGAAGGCAAUCCCCUGGGCCUGUACUGACGCUCAUGCACGAAAGCGUGGGGAGCAAACAGGAUUAGAUACCCUGGUAGUCCACGCCCUAAACGAUGUCAACUGGUUGUUGGGUCUUCACUGACUCAGUAACGAAGCUAACGCGUGAAGUUGACCGCCUGGGGAGUACGGCCGCAAGGUUGAAACUCAAAUGAAUUGAC
rnacentral:rRNA from 1 species